rnacentral:lncRNA from 1 species
ACUUUACUCGAUAUUGCUGGAUGUACCCUCUCAAAGCCAAAUCUGAGGUUAAAAACCAUUUCAUAGCCUUCAAAGCUCUUGUUGAAACCCGAUUCCAAACCAAAAUUCAAACCCUAUACUCAGAUAAUGGGGGUGAAUAUCUUGCUCUCCGAGCUUUCCUUUCAGCCAAUGGUAUAUCACACCUAACUACACCUCCGCAUACACCCGAACACAAUGGCCUCUCUGAGAGGAAACACAGGCAUAUUGUCGAAAUGGGUCUCUCGUUACUCACAGCAGCAAACAUUCCUCUUUCAUACUGGCCAUAUGCCUUUGCUGCUGCUGUCUUUCUCAUCAACCACCUUCCUACUCCUGUCCUCUCUAAUACUUCACCAUACCAAAAGCUCUUCAAAACCACUCCUAACUAUCAAAAGCUAAGAACUUUUGGCUGUCUUUGCUUCCCCUGGCUUCGCCCCUAUGCACCAAACAAACUCCAAAACAGAUCCAUUCCGUGUGUUUUCAUAGGCUACUCUCUCACUCAAAGUGCCUAUCUCUGCUUUGACCCAACCUCUGGCCGAAUCUAUACAUCUCGCCAUGUGAGAUUCAAUGAGACUCAAUUUCCCUUCUCUACCUUAACUAAACCAAAACCCCAAUCGGAAACUCAAUCAUCAGCUCCACCAUCGCAUCCUCCUGUUACUAUUAUCCCAACCUCAUCACCACUCAUACAUUUGUCUUCUCCGGCUGCGAGUGAUCCUACUCCGGGUUCAGGCACGUCACCUCCACCGCAACACACCACUGAAUCCUCUGCAUCAGCAUCAACUCUUUCCCUGCGACGGAAGCCAUCGUUGUCAACAACAACAACACAAACACAAUUCUGCAUAUCAACAUGGCGAAUGUUACUAAGCUUACAGCUUCCAAUUUCUUGAUGUGGAGUAGGCAGAUUCAUGCUCUCCUUGAUGGAUAUGAUCUAGCCAGUCAUAUUGAUGAAUCUAUUCCACCACCUCCCGCCAUGAUCACAACUGAGACUGGUGCUGCAACCAACCCUGCGUACACUCUGUGGAAACGUCAAGACAGGCUCAUCUAUAGCGCUAUCUUGGGUGCUAUCUCAGUCACUCUUCAGCCGAUCCUCUCCACCGCGACAACCUCGGCGCAGAUCUGGAGCACUCUCCACCUUACCUAUGCUAAACCAAGCAGAGGUCAUAUUCAGCAGAUCAAACAGCAACUUAAAAGUUGGACAAAAGGAACUAAAACAAUCAACGAGUACUACCAGGGUUUCAUCACUCGUUUUGAUGAACUUGCUCUCUUAGGAAAGCCUUGUGAUCAUGAGGAUCAGAUUGAACAGAUCCUUGCUGGCUUGCCUGAGGACUACAAGAACCUUGUGGAUCAGAUUGAAGGAAGAGAUGUGGCGCCGUCUCUCACUGAACUUCAUGAGAAGUUGAUCAACUUCGAAACAAAGCUACAAGCUGCCACUCCGGUGAUCUCCACAGUACCGGUCACUGCCAACUUCUCUAACUAUCGUGGGAACUCUAGCAACCAAAAUAACAGAGGAAACCACAACUCCAAGCGCGGAGGAUACCGUGGGCCACAAACAUGGCAGCAACAACAACAGUUCGGUCCAACUUCGAACUCCAACACUUCAAGAGGAUAUCAAGGGAAGUGUCAGCUGUGUGGUGUCUUUGGUCACAGUGCACGUCGCUGCACUCAACUCUCGAGCAUGAGUCAAGCACAACCGAACAUGCUGCAGCAGACGCAAGUGUCUCCAUGGCAACCACGAGCCAAUGUCGGAACCUUCACUCCGUACAAUCCUCAGCAAUGGCUUCUGGAUAGUGGUGCGACGCAUCAUCUCACGUCAGACCUCAACAACUUAGCACUGCAUCAGCCUUACAAUGGUGGCGAAGAGGUCGCGAUUGCAGACGGCACUGGUCUCGCUAUCACCCACACCGGUUCUGCUUCUAUCUCCACGCCAACUAAACCUUUGCUUCUCAAUGAUGUGCUUUGUGUACCUCAUGUGAACAAAAAUCUUCUGUCUGUCUAUAGAUUAUGCAAUGCUAAUCAAGUGUGUGUUGCUUUCUAUCCUUCUUAUUUUCAGGUGAUGGAUGUCAACUCGGGGGACCGGUUGCUGCAAGGCCGCGCGAGGAAUGAAUUGUAUGAGUGGCCGGUGUCUCCUACCCUAAACCCUGCUUCCUACGCUACCUAUCCAGACACCAAAGCCACCCUAGCUCAAUGGCAUACACGCCUGGGCCACCCUUCUUUAUCUACUUUAAAAUCUGUUGUUUCAAAAUUUUCUUUGCCUUGCUCAAAUGCUUCAUCUUUUGUUCCUCCUUGCAAUGAUUGCUUACUUAAUAAAAUUCAUAAGCUUCCCUUUCAUCAAAGUUCCAUUCAAUCUUCUCAACCUCUGCAAUACAUAUUUUCUGAUGUAUGGCAAUCACCAGUACUCUCUUCUCAAAACUACAAAUACUACUUAGUACUGGUUGAUCACUUUACUCGAUAUUGCUGGAUGUACCCUCUCAAAGCCAAAUCUGAGGUUAAAAACCAUUUCAUAGCCUUCAAAGCUCUUGUUGAAACCCGAUUCCAAACCAAAAUUCAAACCCUAUACUCAGAUAAUGGGGGUGAAUAUCUUGCUCUCCGAGCUUUCCUUUCAGCCAAUGGUAUAUCACACCUAACUACACCUCCGCAUACACCCGAACACAAUGGCCUCUCUGAGAGGAAACACAGGCAUAUUGUCGAAAUGGGUCUCUCGUUACUCACAGCAGCAAACAUUCCUCUUUCAUACUGGCCAUAUGCCUUUGCUGCUGCUGUCUUUCUCAUCAACCACCUUCCUACUCCUGUCCUCUCUAAUACUUCACCAUACCAAAAGCUCUUCAAAACCACUCCUAACUAUCAAAAGCUAAGAACUUUUGGCUGUCUUUGCUUCCCCUGGCUUCGCCCCUAUGCACCAAACAAACUCCAAAACAGAUCCAUUCCGUGUGUUUUCAUAGGCUACUCUCUCACUCAAAGUGCCUAUCUCUGCUUUGACCCAACCUCUGGCCGAAUCUAUACAUCUCGCCAUGUGAGAUUCAAUGAGACUCAAUUUCCCUUCUCUACCUUAACUAAACCAAAACCCCAAUCGGAAACUCAAUCAUCAGCUCCACCAU